AGAACGAACGCUGGCGGCGUGGAUAAGACAUGCAAGUCGAACGGGACAACAUCUGUAGCAAUACAGGUGUUGUUUAGUGGCGAACGGGUGCGUAACACGUGGGCAAUCUGCCGAGAAGUGGGGGAUAGCUCGCCGAAAGGCGAAUUAAUACCGCAUAUGAUCAGGGACGACAUCUUCCCAACAUCAAAGCCGGGGUAACCUGGCGCUUCUUGAUGAGCCCGCGGCCUAUCAGCUAGUUGGUGAGGUAACGGCUCACCAAGGCUAUGACGGGUAGCUGGUCUGAGAGGACGACCAGUCACACUGGAACUGAGACACGGUCCAGAC
rnacentral:rRNA from 1 species